GUCGAGCGGUAACAGGUGUAGCAAUACAUGCUGACGAGCGGCGAACGGGUGAGUAACGCUUCGGAAUCUGCCCAAUGGUGGGGAAUAACCAGCCGAAAGGUUGGCUAAUACCGCAUGAGCCCUACGGGGGAAAGCGGGGGAUCGUAAGACCUCGCGCCGAUGGAUGAGCCGAAGCCGGAUUAGCUAGUUGGUAGGGUAACGGCCUACCAAGGCGACGAUCCGUAGCUGGUCUGAGAGGACGACCAGCCACACUGGGACUGAGACACGGCCCAGACUCCUACGGGAGGCAGCAGUGGGGAAUAUUGGACAAUGGGGGAAACCCUGAUCCAGCGACGCCGCGUGUGUGAAGAAGGCCUGCGGGUUGUAAAGCACUUUUAGUGGGGAUGAAAAGCUCAGGGCUAACACCUCUGGGUCUUGACCUAACCCACAGAAAAAGCACCGGCUAACUCUGUGCCAGCAGCCGCGGUAAUACAGAGGGUGCGAGCGUUAAUCGGAAUUACUGGGCGUAAAGCGUACGUAGACGGUAGCGUAAGUCGGGUGUGAAAGCCCCGGGCUCAACCUGGGAAUUGCAUUCGAGACUGCUCUGCUAGGGUGCGGAAGAGGGAAGCGGAAUUUCCGGUGUAGCGGUGAAAUGCGUAGAUAUCGGA
rnacentral:rRNA from 1 species